UUUACAUUUUGGUGAUCAAUUGAUCAUCAUUGAUCAAUACUUUUGGUACUUAAAAAAUAUGAUGUUAAUAAUUAUUUUGUAGUUUGACUUAAGAUUUUGAAAUUGUGGUACAUAACAGUGCAGUAGCCGAGUAUUAAUAAAACAGCUCUAUAUUAUUUCUGAUACCAGUUAUUGCUAUUAUUGUUAAAAUGACCGUAGUCUCCCUGUUUCCCCCUGCUGUUCAGUAAACAGAAAAUGCAUUUUCGGGAUAUUCAUUUUAUCCAAUUAGGAGAGAGAAUUCAUGCAGGAUGUAGAAUAAACAAGUGAAAGUAGAAGUGAUAAAAUAAGAGAAACUUUAUCUAUCGUAGAGGGAAAUCAAAAUGGAAAAUUGACACUUUCUAAGAAAUGUAUUUCUGUUUACUAAAGAGCUGAUUAGAUGUAAACCUCUGUUACUGAAUAAACGCUUCAUCAGAAUAUAGAGUUUUACUUUUACAAAAAGUUCAACUGUAUAUUCCAUCAACUUGGGUCUGUAUUUAUAUAGUAUUGGAGUGUCAAAAUGACCAGACGAAAACCUGGAAAACGAUGGAGAAGGACUGGUAAUGAAGAAGACCCAAAUAAACGACCAAGACGGGCUGCACAAUUGUCAUCCCUCCCUGCAGCCGCCAGUGUUCAUGUGGAGACUGAUCAGCAAUAUUUAGGUAACUUAUGAAAUGUGUUGGUGUGUGUUUAAUGUUCAAAAGCCACACCCAGUCCCAUGCGCAGAGGAGAGAGAGAUCCUGAACAGAAUUAGUUCUGAUUAAGAAUCACAGGCCCUGUAAAUAGAUAGAUUAGUAGAUAGAAUGCAGUCUACAGUUGGUCAAACCAAGCAUGGCAAAAUAGCUUUCUCUUAUUCUCCUCUUUUUCUUUUUUUUAUCUUUUGAGUUUCUUACAAGAAGGUUUCUCACCCGAAAUCUGUUUCGGGUGAGAAAUCUGAAAAAUGUCAUUUAAGCAAAAUGAGACUCUAAUAUUGAUCUAGAAAAAAGGUGUGAACCACUGAUGUGUCCUCUUGUCUGUGUCAGGAGGUAGCAGCAGCGGAACACAGCAGGGGGGGGUGCCUCCUGGAGGAACCCAAAACGCUGCACUUCAAGGGGAACA
ensembl:lncRNA